GAGAUCAGUGGUAGAGCAUCUGCCUUGCAAGCAGAAAGUCCCAGGUUCAACCCUUAGCAACUCCA